rnacentral:rRNA from 1 species
UGGCGACCGGCGCACGGGUGAGUAACACGUAUCCAACCUGCCGAUAACUCGGGGAUAGCCUUUCGAAAGAAAGAUUAAUAUCCGAUAGCAUAUCAAGAUCGCAUGAUCUUGAUAUUAAAGAAUUUCGGUUAUCGAUGGGGAUGCGUUCCAUUAGUUAGUUGGCGGGGUAACGGCCCACCAAGACAACGAUGGAUAGGGGUUCUGAGAGGAAGGUCCCCCACAUUGGAACUGAGACACGGUCCAAACUCCUACGGGAGGCAGCAG